rnacentral:rRNA from 1 species
GAUGAACGCUAGCUACAGGCUUAACACAUGCAAGUCGAGGGGUAACGAGAGGGAAGCUUGCUUUCCUUGUCGACGACCGGCGCACGGGUGAGUAACGCGUAUCCAACCUGCCCCCAACUAGGGAAUAACCUUGCGAAAGUAAGACUAAUACCCUAUAAUUUCCUCAGAUGUCAUCUGACGAGGAAUAAAGAUUUAUCGGUUGUGGAUGGGGAUGCGUCUGAUUAGCUUGUUGGCGGGGUACCGGCCCACCAAGGCAACGAUCAGUAGGGGUUCUGAGAGGAAGGUCCCCCACAUUGGAACUGAGACACGGUCCAAACUCCUACGGGAGGCAGCAGUGAGGAAUAUUGGUCAAUGGGCGGAAGCCUGAACCAGCCAAGUAGCGUGCAGGAUGACGGCCCUAUGGGUUGUAAACUGCCUUUAUACAGGAAUAAAGUUAGCCACGUGUGGUUAUUUGUAGGUACUGUAUGAAUAAGGACCGGCUAAUUCCGUGCCAGCAGCCGCCGUAA